rnacentral:lncRNA from 10 species
CGGGCUAAUUUUUUUAUUUUUAGUAAAGACGGGGUUUCUCCAUAUUGGGUAGGCUGGUCUCGAACUCCUGACUUCAGGUGAUUUGCCUGCCUCGGCCUCCCAAAGUGCUGGGAUUACAGGCGUGAUCCACCGCAAGCAGCCUAACCCCUCUUUAAUUUUUAAAAUUUUUAAAAAUUUUUUUGAGACGGAAUCUCGCUCUGUCGCCAGGCUGGAGAGCAGUGGCGCGAUCUCGGCUAACUGCAACCUCCGCCUCUCGCCUGACACCUCUUUUAAUGAAAACCUUUCCAUUACAUCUCUGAAAUGCUCCCACUUUGCACGGAAAAAACGGCUGCGAAGCCCCCAAUAGGAAACGCAACACGUAGCAGGUGCUCAGUGCAUUUAAAAAUUUUGAAGAAUUUUAUUAUUAAUAAUGCGAAACUGACUACCCCUCUGCUAAAAACUCAUGCCCCAAAUGGCGCAUGCGCUUGACUUGCAACUUAACUAAACGCGUCACAGGUACAGGUGUAGGUGGUUAGGGACCCCGGGCGCUCCCAUCUGCUCCCUGCCGCGCCCUCUGCCUUUCAGAGCCUCAAUCCUUUCGGAAGAUACUUUUCAGUUUUCCACUGGGUUAAAUGGUGAUAGGAAGAGCAAUCAUCCGUUAAAUGAAACCCAAGGUUGAGACAGCGC